AAAUCCAAACCGAACUCAUCCGAACCGGACCGACCCAGUAUACAUAUACGGUUCGGUUCGGGUCUAUUUUAUAGGACCGAAAUUUUUUCGGGUCAGUCCGAGCCUGAAACCCGCUCGAACCCGUCGAAUUCGGACCGACCCGUACAUUUCUAAAUUAAUUAUUUAAUUUAUAUAUUUAAUAUUUAUAAUAAUAUUAAUAAAAUCUAAUUCCAAUUUCUACAUUGUAUGUUACGUAACCGAAAUGGAAACCGGUAACUCAAUACUUUUAAAGUUUUGAAUUGAAUCUGUCUUUGCCCCUAACUCUGGCCGCCGCUGCCACCCCACCCACUCAAACCCGUCGCCCAGCACCGUACUGGACCGGACCUCCGCCCAGCCUUGCGCCGGACGGUGCGGACCCUCUUUGUCUCCAGACUCGCGCCGAGCCUUCCCUUCGCUCUAUAUCCAGACUCGCAGCAGGCCCACGCCGGUGACCCCACGACCACCCCUCGCCGCCGAGCCUUCCCUCCGCCUGUCGCCACUCGCCUGAAGCUACACCCAAGCCCCAGAUGCAAUCAUCCCGCAGCUGCGCAACAGGCCCUCCUCGCCGCCCCGAACAGUAGCAGCCACCCCGGUGACCCCGUGAUCACCCCUCGCCUCCGUCGCCGAGCCAACGGCCGCCUCCAGCUAUUAUAUUGCGUUCGACCGAGAUUUAUUCAGUGCAUACUAUUGAAGAUUUCUCUCGUCAUCUAUAUCUAGAGUAAGAUUUAUUCAGUGCAUACUAUUGUAGAUUUCCCCCAUCAUCUAUAUCUAGAGUUAGGUUACAGUGAGAAUGCUAUUUUUUUUAAUAAGAAAUAAGAAUAAUAAAUAAGUCAGUAUAUAGUAUUGCAUAAGCUGUUUGUAAUGACUAAAUAACGAUAUUCAAUUAAUUGAUAAAAUUUUCGCUCC